CCACCUCGAACUGCCCUAUGGGUUGUAAACUUCUUUUAUACGGGAAUAAAGUGAGGCACGUGUGCCUUUUUGUAUGUACCGUAUGAAUAAGGAUCGGCUAACUCCGUGCCAGCAGCCGCGGUAAUACGGAGGAUCCGAGCGUUAUCCGGAUUUAUUGGGUUUAAAGGGAGCGUAGGCGGACGCUUAAGUCAGUUGUGAAAGUUUGCGGCUCAACCGUAAAAUUGCAGUUGAUACUGGGUGUCUUGAGUACAGUAGAGGCAGGCGGAAUUCGUGGUGUAGCGGUGAAAUGCUUAGAUAUCACGAAGAACUCCGAUUGCGAAGGCAGCUUGCUGGACUGUAACUGACGCUGAUGCUCGAAAGUGUGGGUAUCAAACAGGAUUAGAUACCCUGGUAGUCCACACAGUAAACGAUGAAUACUCGCUGUUUGCGAUAUACAGUAAGCGGCCAAGCGAAAGCAUUAAGUAUUCCACCUGGGGAGUACGCCGGCAACGGUGAAACUCAAAGGAAUUGACGGGGGCCCGCACAAGCGGAGGAACAUGUGGUUUAAUUCGAUGAUACGCGAGGAACCUUACCCGGGCUUGAAUUGCAACUGAAUGAUGUGGAGACAUGUCAGCCGCAAGGCAGUUGUGAAGGUGCUGCAUGGUUGUCGUCAGCUCGUGCCGUGAGGUGUCGGCUUAAGUGCCAUAACGAGCGCAACCCUUAUCUUUAGUUACUAACAGGUUAUGCUGAGGACUCUAGAGAGACUGCCGUCGUAAGAUGUGAGGAAGGUGGGGAUGACGUCAAAUCAGCACGGCCCUUACGUCCGGGGCUACACACGUGUUACAAUGGGGGGUACAGAAGGCGGCUACCUGGUGACAGGAUGCUAAUCCCAAAAACCUCUCUCAGUUCGGAUCGAAGUCUGCAACCCGACUUCGUGAAGCUGGAUUCGCUAGUAAUCGCGCAUCAGCCAUGGCGCGGUGAAUACGUUCCCGGGCCUUGUACACACCGCCCGUCAAGCCAUGAAAGCCGGGGGUACCUGAAGUACGUAACCGCAAGGAGCGUCCUAGGGUAAAACUGGUAAUUGGGGCUAAGUCGUAACAAGGUAGCCGUACCGGAAGGUGCGGCUG
rnacentral:rRNA from 1 species